rnacentral:tRNA from 1 species
GCCGGAGUGGUGGAACUGGUAGACGCGCUGGACUCAAAAUCCAGUGUCCAUUAGGACGUGUCGGUUCGAUUCCGACCUCCGGCACCA